GUGAACGCUGGCGGUAGGCCUAACACAUGCAAGUCGAACGGCAGCACCGUAAGAGCUUGCUCUUACGGGUGGCGAGUGGCGGACGGGUGAGGAAUACAUCGGAAUCUACUUUUUCGUAGGGGAUAACGUAGGGAAACUUACGCUAAUACCGCAUACGACCUACGGGUGAAAGCAGGGGAUCUUCGGACCUUGCGCGAUUGAAUGAGCCGAUGUCGGAUUAGCUAGUUGGCGGGGUAAAGGCCCACCAAGGCGACGAUCCGUAGCUGGUCUGAGAGGAUGAUCAGCCACACUGGAACUGAGACACGGUCCAGACUCCUACGGGAGGCAGCAGUGGGGAAUAUUGGACAAUGGGCGCAAGCCUGAUCCAGCCAUACCGCGUGGGUGAAGAAGGCCUUCGGGUUGUAAAGCCCUUUUGUUGGGAAAGAAAAGCAGCAGGUUAAUACCCCGCUGUCCUGACGGUACCCAAAGAAUAAGCACCGGCUAACUUCGUG
rnacentral:rRNA from 1 species